rnacentral:rRNA from 1 species
CAAUAGCGUAUAUUAAAGUUGUUGCAGUUAGAACGCUCGUAGUCGGAUUUCGGGGCGGGCCGACCGGUCUGCCGAUGGGUACGCACUGGUCGGCGCGUCCUUCCUUCCGGAGACCGUGCCUACUCUUAACUGAGCGGGGGCGGGAGACGGAUCGUUUACUUUGAAAAAAUCAGAGUGUUUCAAGCAGGCAGCUCGCUCUUGCAUGGAUUAGCAUGGGAUAAUGAAAUAUGACUUUGGUGCUAUUUUGUUGGUUUCGAACACCGAAGUAAUGAUAAAUAGGGACAGUCAGGGGCACUCGUAUUCCGCCGAGAGAGGUGAAAUUCUCAGACCAGCGGAAGACGAACCACUGCGAAAGCAUUUGCCAGGGAUGUUUUCACUGA